rnacentral:lncRNA from 1 species
CUUACUCUACCUACUGCCUCUCAGUACAUAUGGCGCAAGCAUAGGAGCAUUCGCCAGCAAUGUGAAGCGCCAUCUGUAAUAAUAUAAUUAUUACCUACGAAAAUAUUAGCUAGGGCGUGUGGUUGACGCGUUGGGAAAGCCGACCCCAGAUGUAAUCGCCAAGUCUUUUGUCGCGCGAUGAACCGGGGGAACAAAGUCACGAUCGAAAAAAGGUAGUUCGCUGAAUGCAAGAGGUCUUGGUUCGAGUCCAACUCGUGAGAAGGAAUCCUUUUUCAACGUCUACUCAGUUUGCUAUCCUUUUCAGGAUCAGGAUCGGCCUAUCCAACCACUAUGGGAUAUGAGGUUUUUCCUCAGGUGAAAGCGGUCUUGAUGCAGAACUACUGAAGGGA